UGUCAGUUGAACCGCUCAGUCAUGGGACUGAAGUACAGGAUGCUCACUAUCAAGCAAGUUGUGUCUCAGAUCAGGUCAGAGGACUGGUUUGUCAUGAUCGAUCUAAAAGACACAUAUUUCCAUAUCUCCAUCCUUCCCCAUCACAGGAAGUUCCUGAGAUUUGCUUUCUGGGGCGAAGCUUAACAAUAUCGGGUUCUUCCCUUCGGCCUUGCACUCUCAACCCAUACUUUCAUGAAAUGGUGGCUCAAGACCAAGGCGAUGCCUUCAUGCCUUAGACAUGUGGAGGAAACCUUGGCUCUUGUCUCAGGACCCAGUGCUGGGAGCUCCUUGUCGCCGCAUAACACUAGCAACGGAUGCGUCCCUCACCGGUUUGGGAGUGGUCAUGAGUGGCCACUCAGCCCGCGGUCUGUGGAGCGGUUGCCAUCUUACAUGGAACAUCAACUGCCUGGAGACGCUGGCCAUGUUUCUAGCAUUGAAACACUUUCUCCCGGACCUAAGAGAUUGCCAUGUGUUGGUGCGUACCGACAACACAGCGGUGGUGUCUUAUAUCAACCCCCAGGGAGGUCUGCGGUUGCGACCCCCUUUACAGGCUGGCACACCAGAUCCAUGUGUGGUCCCAGAGCAAACCUCAAUAUGGGAGCAAACAUCCUGUCAAGGCAGGAGCCAAGGAAUGGAGACUUCACUGAGGUGGUGAAGCAGAUAUGGAGAGUUUUUGAGGCUCAGGUGGACCUGUUUGCAACUGAGAAGACAUUGCACUGUCCCCUCUGGUUCUCUCUGACUCAUCCAGCUCCACUGGGGCUGGAUGCCAUGGUACAGAAGUGGCCAAGGCUUCAUCUGCGUGCCUUUUCCCCCAAUCGCUCUGCUCCCAUAGUAAUUAAGUCCCUUCUCAACAGGUCACCAUGGGAGAUUCCUGUCAGGAGGGACCUCCUCUCUCAAGCGGGGGGCACCAUAGUUCACCACUGCCCAGAUCUGUGGAAGUUAUGGGUGUGGCCCCUGAGGGGGCACAUCUUGUAUCUUCUGGUCUCUCAACCAAGGUUGUUGGGACCAUCCUCCAAUCCAGAGCUCCCUCUAUGAUGAAAUUGUAUGCCUUGAAUGAGACGCUACAUCUCAGUGCCAUACUCGCCAUCCCUGCGAGCGCAUGCUUCAUUUCCUAGGAGCUGACGCUGUUUCCACCGCUCAUGCUUUUAAGCUUCCUGGUCGUUACGUCACCCCACC
ensembl:lncRNA